UCUUUCUCCUCUUCUCCUCUUCUUCUCUCAUUAAACCUCUCCACGUGGAACCAUGUUGGCUUGGUGUGCUCUGUCUGGACUCGAGCUGAGUUUUAAACCCCAACAUUUUCCACAUUUGUUGUGGUUGUUGUUUUGUUUUGUUUUGUUUUGUUUUUUGCGCCUUCAAGUCUUCAAGGUCUGGGUGGGUAUCACACACAGACUGUGAUUCUGAUGAUGAAUUCCACAGGUCAAGUGUGUGUGACAUGGUGUAGUUCCCUUUAUAGGUGUUGAAGGGUGUCAGAGCAAAGUUAUUACAAGCAUGUCCCAGAGAGUGAACUUGUGCUAUGGGAGGUUUGUUCUGAUUUAAAGUUCUUGGCUGGAUGUUGAAGUUCUUGGCAUGCACCUAUAAUACUAGCCCAGGAGCCAGAGGCAGGAAGGUGAGGAAGUUCAACGUGAAGGAGGACUAAUCCGAGAGCUAUUGCCCAGCCCCGACCCCCCCCCAACAAAGAUGCUUUUUAUAAAGUAAUUUUUUCCCCUAAAACGUUUUCAAGUCCUGUCUUACAUGUAUUCAUUAAAUACGGGGCACACUUGUCACACCGUGCGUGUGGAGGUCAGAAGACAGCUUGUGUGAGGUUUGACCAUGGGGUUCUGGGGACCGAAGUCAGCUCAUCGGCCUUGACAGCAAAUGGCUUACUCCCUAGUCAUCUCACGGCCCCACCCCCGGUUGUCUUUAAGUAGUAGCAAGCAGGGGCUCCCUACAGCAACCAAAAUAUCCUGACUUAGGUUAAUAAUUUAUUGCCUCCCACAGUGGAAACAUAAACAAGACAAGCUUCUAGUCCUAGUUGGGACUGCUCUGGCCUUCGGGUCAUUCACCCACGUGUGGGUGAGCGUACAUGUAGUCCUGUGCUCUCCUCUCUGGAUACUGCCCUCAACAACAGAAUAUCCUGGGGACAGCCAAGUGCACAGAAGCUUCUGAGGUUGUGUGGAUGAGAAUGCUUCCUGUAUGGUGGCAUUAGCCCUGGGCCCUGAAGAGCAGCCAGGAGCCCUGGAGAAAGCAGAGUGGAAGUGUGCCACAGUGGGUAGAGAAGCCUAUAGCUGCCAGAAAGCAGGGAGACCUGUGGAGGUUAGAACCAGCCCCCAGCAGGCCGCAGGCCUGGAGGAAACCAUGCUACUAUGGAGACCGUUGUCAAGCAGUGCUGUCCGGACUGAAAUACGACACUCACCACAUAGGCGGCAUUUUCUAGCAGCCGUGUUUAUAAAGGUCAAAACGCGCACAGGUGCGAUUUAUUUUUAGAUCACAUUUUACUGAACACACUUCCUCUGGAAUAUUAUUGCUUGAACAGGUGAGAGGGCUCACAUUUUUUUUUCUGAAGGAACUCUUCGAAAUCCACCCCACGGCUGGCACAGUUGUCCAGCUCCGCUUGGUGCAGCUGUGAUUCAACCGUUCUGAGUCACGUGGGUUCGAGGCUGCCACGUCUGACUGCACAAGCCCAUAUGUGGGUGUACGUCAUGAAUAGUAACCUCUGCUCCAGCUCUGGGUCCAAAGGAGAGGUCAGGCCAACGGAAAGGGAAGGGGCUAAAGAUCAACAAAAGAGGCGAAGCCUCCCACCUCUUCUGAGGGACUGCAGAUUGGGCAACCAGGUCCUCUAACCAGGGCAAGGCAGGAGACAGAGACAGCAGUCCCCUUCCCCCAUGGUACCAAGGGUGUCCGUGUGAAUAGUGUAACCAAGAAACAGAGCCCUGAGGAACAUUUGCUAAAUUCUGCCAAGUGCCUGGACACCAGAUCACAAGGCUGACCCAGAAAAGAGCAAUUGUACCUGCAGGGGAGGCAGGGCAGGCAAGGCCACCCCGGGUCAGCAGGCGCCUCCCACACUGCCAGAGAGGCGUGCCGGUGGCCGGCCUAAUGUGGAAAUGUUUGAAUGUGGGGCAGCGAGGCGCUUGGGCCGGUGGAGUCAGCCAGGGUGACAGGAACCAGUCACACUGGGGCGGGACGGUGGAAAAUGCUUGCCAAGACCCCGGCAACAUCUUUCCUAAUAAGUCUGGCAGACUUCAGGCUUCAGUCCCCCUCUGAACGACCUCUCCCUUCCACUCCGGUCUUCUCCAAGGAGGAAGGAGAGAGAGCCAAACAGAGCUGGAAUUUGGACUCAGGCCUGACUUUUCCCCUCGCCGGGGCUCUGCGGCUACUCCACCGCAGAGCCGAUGAAGGCCUUUUUCCACAAUGCCCCUCCGGACGCUUGACUGUGCUGGCCACACACUCCAUCUGCAACCUGGGCUCAACUGUUGCAGCCCUGUACCAGGAGAGACCCUAUGGAAGCACCCCUCCCCCCUCCCCUCCCCUUCCUCCUUCAGCUCCCUGCAGUGGGAGCCUGGAGCCACCCUGCUGGCUGUGUAUCCUGGCUGCUGGGCCUGCUGGCUCAGGAGAGGUUUCCUAAGUCGGAUGUCCCAGCCCCACGCAAAGGACAGGCACAAUGACAACAUGUGUGUUUGGGUCGGGACACUUUGAACUAUGAUUCCCAGAAAGAACAGCUUGUACAACCACUCCGAGUCUCCCAGCAACAAAGAAUGUACCGUAGAUUAGGCCUGGCUUGCAAAACAUUUUUUUUUAAAGAGACACAGCCCAGUCCUUUUAUGGGGUCCUGGAAAAACGGUGGGUGACUGAGUUAAAAAGCACAGAACACCCGCUGUCAACACUCCGUGACCUUCCUUGGCUCAUCAGUUCUCCUAAGGACAAGAACUUUCCGGACUGUGUUUUCUGGUUCUCAUCCUGGCUAUCCGGGUGUUGUUGCCCGACACCUUUGGUAAAGGAAAGGCAAUGCCCAGGUCACCUUCGCUGGAAGCAGCCUCAGCACCCAGACGUUCUCUUCAAGGGGGUCUCUUAUUCCAAGGCCUUUGUGGAUCCAAAGAAACACCUUUUUUCCUCAGAGGCUAGACAUUUCCUUUUAUCCCUCGACUGAUUCUUCAUUUCAGCCAUGUUAGGAAGGCUUCCUUGUCUCAGUUGGAGACUAGGAGCCGCUUCAAAGACAAACAGCUAAAGAACAAAAGCAGGAGAUGGGCCAGCUGGGUGUGCGAGAGUCCACUCACAGGGGGGGGGGUUGUUAAUUUGAUGGGGGCAAUGUUAAUGCAUUGUUUGUUCUUAUUUGGGUUUCACUGCUGAAGGUUUGAAAGCCAGCCUCUUGAAUGCAUUUGCAUGUGGGAACAUCUCAGAGCAGACCUCUGGUUUCACCAACCUCCCAGAACUGUGUAUUUUGACUUGUGUGGCACUCCUUAAGAUACUCUGCACCCUUCUAGCUCAAAGGAAGCCUGCAUAACUGUUUCCCAAGUCCUGCUGGCUCAGCCUAGCUCCAAUCUUCUUGAAGCUCAGUGCUGUCUGGGGAAGGAGUUCUGGCUAAUGGAGGGUGUCUGGCCAAGAUGCAUCCCAUUGAUGACCUACUGAGCUUCCUGGACAAAUCUUCAAUGUCCCUGCUGGGUAUGAGCACCCGGGACAAUCUUAGAAGGCACAUACAGAAGAUGCUUCCGGAACCUCCAUCAGCCUGGAUCCCAAGGGAUGAAUAGAGCCCCUCCUUCAGUGCCAGGCCACAAACACAGCAGCAUUGACAAGACAACAGCGUUUGCUGCCAUGGUAAUGAAUACUUCUGACACAGGCCAGGGAUCUGAUUCUGAGCAGAAGCUCAACUACUUACAAAAAGUCAACCGCAGAACAGACCCAGUGGCUAUUAAAUGUCACAAAAAUGUGUAGCAACUGGCAUGACCUUAACAGUCAGUCAGGAGAAUAUAUCUUCUUCAAGCCGAGAUCACGAAAGCUCGUGAUUGCCCACACACUCAGUAAAAUGAAACCGGAGGCACAGAGGUAACCCCCCCAACCCCAGGUUCUACCUUAUUAGUAGCCUGGGAUGAGAUCAGCUUCUGAAGUCCUCUUCCCGGAUACUAGAGGUUGGGGGUGACAGUUAAUACCGUCUUGAGGCUGUGGCCCACUGAUUGGUCUCAGCGGCUUAUACUGAGCACUCCGAAACCAAGUCAGCUUAGCUGGGAGGAGCAUCAGGACCAAUGAUCUUCUCUGUCAAGUGCACGGGUGUUGGGGGAGGGGGCCCUCCCUGAACUUAGCCCAGCAUGUUCCAGCAUGUGUUUAGCACGUGUGGAAAACGUCUCUCAGCCUCUCUUGGGAUGCUGGCUGGUCAUCCAGUCUCCUCCGUCUCUUUACUGGCAAGGUCGAGCUAAACUCUCCAGGUGAGAACCCUGAAAAUCUGCAGAUUCUGCCAUUUUUUUUUUCAUGAUCCGCCUUCGGGGAUCAUCCAGGAGGGUGCAGAGUGACAGAGAGUAUGAGGUCUGAUGAUCAUACCCCCUGGGACUGGUGGCUAGCAUAAGCCACCUGGCUUUAGCGUCUUGUGUGCAAAGUGGGUGUCACAAUAACACCUUAUUCACAGGGAGGGCAGGGAGACUGGACCCAAUAAGGCUGGACACAGUGAGCACUGGUAUGUGUCUGUCUGCGGGAAUGUGAUAAUAUGACCUGUGGGAAUUCAGAGGACAACAUCAGGUGCCAACCAAAACUUUUUUGACGCAGGAUCUUUUGUCUACCAUGCAUAGGUCAGGCUAACUGUCUUGUUGAGUUUCUGGAGCUUUCUGGACAGAUCUCUACUUCCACCUCGCACUAGGACCUCUGGUUUUGCAGAAGGGUGUGCCGCUGUGUCCCGAUAUAUGUGCCUCUGGGGAUACAAAUUUGAGUCCUCAGGCUUCCGUGGAAAGCACCUACCAAAACUAACCGAUGAGCGGCACUCCUCUGUGGCCUCUGCUUCAGAUCCCCUCCUCCAGUUUCCCUGUCCUGAGUUCCUUUCCUGACCUUUCUCAGUGAUGGGUUGUGAUGUGGAAGUGGAAGCGUAAUAAACCCUUUAUUCCCUA
rnacentral:sRNA from 1 species